rnacentral:rRNA from 1 species
CUUAUGCGUUGUUGGGUAGGGGAGCGUUCUGUAAGCCUGCGAAGGUGGCCUGUGAGGGUUGCUGGAGGUAUCAGAAGUGCGAAUGCUGACAUAAGUAACGAUAAAGCGGGUGAAAAGCCCGCUCGCCGGAAGACCAAGGGUUCCUGUCCAACGUUAAUCGGGGCAGGGUGAGUCGACCCCUAAGGCGAGGCCGAAAGGCGUAGUCGAUGGGAAACAGGUUAAUAUUCCUGUACUUGGUGUUACUGCGAAGGGGGGACGGAGAAGGCUAUGUUGGCCGGGCGACGGUUGUCCCGGUUUAAGCGUGUAGGCUGGUUUUCCAGGCAAAUCCGGAAAAUCAAGGCUGAGGCGUGAUGACGAGGCACUACGGUGCUGAAGCAACAAAUGCCCUGCUUCCAGGAAAAGCCUCUAAGCAUCAGGUAACAUCAAAUCGUACCCCAAACCGACACAGGUGGUCAGGUAGAGAAUACCAAGGCGCUUGAGAGAACUCGGGUGAAGGAACUAGGCAAAAUGGUGCCGUAACUUCGGGAGAAGGCACGCUGAUAUGUAGGUGAAGCGACUUGCUCGUGGAGCUGAAAUCAGUCGAAGAUACCAGCUGGCUGCAACUGUUUAUUAAAAACACAGCACUGUGCAAACACGAAAGUGGACGUAUACGGUGUGACGCCUGCCCGGUGCCGGAAGGUUAAUUGAUGGGGUUAGCGGUAACGCGAAGCUCUUGAUCGAAGCCCCGGUAAACGGCGGCCGUAACUAUAACGGUCCUAAGGUAGCGAAAUUCCUUGUCGGGUAAGUUCCGACCUGCACGAAUGGCGUAAUGAUGGCCAGGCUGUCUCCACCCGAGACUCAGUGAAAUUGAACUCGCUGUGAAGAUGCAGUGUACCCGCGGCAAGACGGAAAGACCCCGUGAACCUUUACUAUAGCUUGACACUGAACAUUGAGCCUUGAUGUGUAGGAUAGGUGGGAGGCUUUGAAGUGUGGACGCCAGUCUGCAUGGAGCCGACCUUGAAAUACCACCCUUUAAUGUUUGAUGUUCUAACGUUGGCCCCUGAUCGGGGUUGCGGACAGUGUCUGGUGGGUAGUUUGACUGGGGCGGUCUCCUCCUAAAGAGUAACGGAGGAGCACGAAGGUUGGCUAAUCCUGGUCGGACAUCAGGAGGUUAGUGCAAUGGCAUAAGCCAGCUUGACUGCGAGCGUGACGGCGCGAGCAGGUGCGAAAGCAGGUCAUAGUGAUCCGGUGGUUCUGAAUGGAAGGGCCAUCGCUCAACGGAUAAAAGGUACUCCGGGGAUAACAGGCUGAUACCGCCCAAGAGUUCAUAUCGACGGCGGUGUUUGGCACCUCGAUGUCGGCUCAUCACAUCCUGGGGCUGAAGUAGGUCCCAAGGGUAUGGCUGUUCGCCAUUUAAAGUGGUACGCGAGCUGGGUUUAGAACGUCGUGAGACAGUUCGGUCCCUAUCUGCCGUGGGCGCUGGAGAACUGAGGGGGGCUGCUCCUAGUACGAGAGGACCGGAGUGGACGCAUCACUGGUGUUCGGGUUGUCAUGCCAAUGGCACUGCCCGGUAGCUAAAUGCGGAAGAGAUAAGUGCUGAAAGCAUCUAAGCACGAAACUUGC